rnacentral:rRNA from 1 species
AGCGGAAAGAAACUAACAAGGAUUCCCCUAGUAACUGCGAGUGAAGCGGGAAAAGCUCAAAUUUAAAAUCUGGCGGUCUCUGGCCGUCCGAGUUGUAAUCUAGAGAAGUAAUGCCCGUGCUGGACCGUGUAUAAGUCUCCUGGGAUGGAGCGUCAUAGAGGGUGAGAAUCCCGUCUUUGACACGGACUACCAGUGCAUUGUGGUAUGCUCUCAAAGAGUCGAGUUGUUUGGGAAUGCAGCUCAAAAUGGGUGGUAAAUUCCAUCUAAAGCUAAAUAUUGGCGAGAGACCGAUAGCGAACAAGUACCGUGAGGGAAAGAUGAAAAGAACUUUGGAAAGAGAGUUAAACAGUACGUGAAAUUGCUGAAAGGGAAACGCUUGAAGUCAGUCGCGUUGGCCAGGGAUCAGCCUUGCUUUUGCAUGGUGUACUUUCUGGUUGACGGGUCAGCAUCAAUUUUGACCGCUGGAAAAGGGCCUGGGGAAUGUGGCAGCUUCGGCUGUGUUAUAGCCCCUAGUCGCAUACAGUGGUUGGGAUUGAGGAACUCAGCACGCCGCAAGGCCGGGUUUCGACCACGUUCGUGCUUAGGAUGCUGGCAUAAUGGCUUUAAGCGACCCGUCUUGAAACACGGACCAAGGAGUCUAACAUGCCUGCGAGUAUUUGGGUGGAAAACCCAAGUGCGUAAUGAAAGUGAAAGUUGAGAUCCCUGUCGUGGGGAGCAUCGACGCCCGGACCAGAACUUUUGGGACGGAUCCGCGGUGGAGCAUGUAUGUUGGGACCCGAAAGAUGGUGAACUAUGCCUGAAUAGGGUGAAGCCAGAGGAAACUCUGGUGGAGGCUCGUAGCGAUUCUGACGUGCAAAUCGAUCGUCAAAUUUGGGUAUAGGGGCGAAAGACUAAUCGAACCAUCUAGUAGCU